GUUUGAUCCUGGCUCAGGACGAACGCUGGUGGCGGGCCUAACACAUGCAAGUCGAACGAGGCUUUCCGGUGCUUGCACUGGAAAAUCGAGUGGCGAACGGGUGGGUAAUACAUGAGAAACCUGCCUUGGAGACGGGGACAACCUCGGGAAACUGAGGCUAAUACCCGAUAUCCCUGCCGAGUCGCAUGACUUGGCAAGAAAAUACUCAGGUGCUCCAAGAGGGUCUCAUGCCCUAUCAGCUUGUUGGUGAGGUAAAAGCUCACCAAGGCUUAGACGGGUAGCUGGUCUGAGAGGACGAUCAGCCACACUGGGACUGAGACACGGCCCAGACUCCUACGGGAGGCAGCAGUGGGGAAUCUUGCGCAAUGGGCGAAAGCCUGACGCAGCCACGCCACGUGUGGGACGACGGCCCUCGGGUUGUAAACCACUUUCAGCAGGGACGAAAAUGACGGUACCUGCAGAAGAAGCCCCGGCCAACUACGUGCCAGCAGCCGCGGUAACACGUAGGGGGCGAGCGUUGUCCGGAAUUACUGGGCGUAAAGGGCUCGUAGGCGGUUUGGUAAGUCAGAUGUGAAAACUCCAGGCUCAACUUGGAGACGCCAUCUGAUACUGCCAUGACUAGAGUUUGGUAGAGGAGUGCAGAAUUCCCGGUGUAGCGGUGAAAUGCGCAGAUAUCGGGAGGAAUACCAGUCAGCGAAGGCGGCACUCUNGGCCACAACUGACGCUGAGGAGCGAAAGCGUGGGGAGCGAACAGGAUUAGAUACCCUGGUAGU
rnacentral:rRNA from 1 species